GACGAACGCUGGCGGCGUGCUUAACACAUGCAAGUCGAACGGAAAGGCCCUGCUUUUGUGGGGUGCUCGAGUGGCGAACGGGUGAGUAACAAGUGAGUAACCUGCCCUUGACUUUGGGAUAACUUCAGGAAACUGGGGCUAAUACCGGAUAGGAGCUCCUGCUGCAUGGUGGGGGUUGGAAAGUUUCGGCGGUUGGGGAUGGACUCGCGGCUUAUCAGCUUGUUGGUGGGGUAGUGGCUUACCAAGGCUUUGACGGGUAGCCGGCCUGAGAGGGUGACCGGCCACAUUGGGACUGAGAUACGGCCCAGACUCCUACGGGACGCAGUAGGAGGGAAUAUGCUACUGUGGACGGAAGGCUUAUGCAGCAUGGCCGCGUGCGGGAUGAUGGCCUUCGAUUAGAGAACUGUUUUGGUCUGUGACAUGGCGUGAGUGACGAUAAUGGGUAAAGAGGCACCGGCUAACUUGGUG
rnacentral:rRNA from 1 species